rnacentral:rRNA from 1 species
AGUCGAACGAGGUUUUUACCUAGUGGCAAACGGGUGAGUAAUAUACAAGAAUCUGCCUAAUAGUGGGGGAUAACCAAUAGAAAUGUUGGCUAAUACCGCAUAUGUCCGAAGGGACAAAGGCUUAGGUCGCUAUUAGAUGAUUUUGUACACGAUUAGCUAGUUGGGGAGGUAACUGCUCACCAAGGCAAUGAUCGUUAGCCGGUCUGAGAGGACGAUCGGCCACACUGGGACUGAGACACGGCCCAGACUCC